rnacentral:rRNA from 1 species
UGAACGCUGGCGGCGUGCCUAAUACAUGCAAGUCGAGCGAAUGGAUUAAGAGCUUGCUCUUAUGAAGUUAGCGGCGGACGGGUGAGUAACACGUGGGUAACCUGCCCAUAAGACUGGGAUAACUCCGGGAAACCGGGGCUAAUACCGGAUAACAUUUUGAACUGCAUGGUUCGAAAUUGAAAGGCGGCUUCGGCUGUCACUUAUGGAUGGACCCGCGUCGCAUUAGCUAGUUGGUGAGGUAACGGCUCACCAAGGCAACGAUGCGUAGCCGACCUGAGAGGGUGAUCGGCCACACUGGGACUGAGACACGGCCCAGACUCCUACGGGAGGCAGCAGUAGGGAAUCUUCCGCAAUGGACGAAAGUCUGACGGAGCAACGCCGCGUGAGUGAUGAAGGCUUUCGGGUCGUAAAACUCUGUUGUUAGGGAAGAACAAGUGCUAGUUGAAUAAGCUGGCACCUUGACGGUACCUAACCAGAAAGCCACGGCUAACU